GAUCACAGCCACGUCAACAGUGGGCGUCAGGCUUGUAAGAGACAUGAAUUAUAUGUGAGCUUUAGUGACCUAGGCUGGAAGGACUGGGUCCUGGCUCCUACGGGUUACUCUGCUUUCUACUGUGAUGGAGAAUGCCUAUACCCUCUGGGUUCCUGCAUGAACGCCACCAACCACGCUAUGAUCCAACUAGUGGUUCACCUUUUGAAGCCAGAUGAGGUUCCCAAAGCGUGCUGCGCACCCACCAAGCUCAGUCCCAUCUCUGUACUAUUCUACGACGACAACAACAAUGUGAUCCUAAAGAAGCAUCGCAACAUGGUGGUCAAGACCUGUGGAUGUCUGUGACAUCUGUGGUGGCCCAUCUAUUCUACAUCAUUUUAAUAAACCUCACUACCAUUGUUCCAAAAGAUACAAACAGGGUAAUAUACC